AUUGCAAUUAUAUUACGAAAAAUUAUCUUGAUUUUACUUAAUUUUAGAUUCUGUAUGAUAAAAAAAAAUAUAUAAAUUAAACUGCCACUAACAAAUCAUUUAAAUAUUUGAUGUUGACAGUUUGUUUAGUUAUUGUUUAUUUUAUUCAGAAAUACAGAAUAAAUUACUUAAGUACAUCGUAGUUAAUCGAUUAAAAAUACAUUGUACAAAUAAAUUUAAAAUGUUGAAUUUAUUUAGCAUUCUUAUUCUACAGAUCAUUUUAUCUACUAUCAUCAAUGGCCAAGUGAUUCAACCAAAAAUGAUACAACUACAAAAGCAAUCUUUACAACAAUCACCACAAAAAAACCAAGUUAAUAUCAACUUGUCACAGUUCUCCCAUGCACCAAUAUCGUCCGAGAAAAUCGGCUCAAUAGUAGCUGCUUUACAGAAAAGCCGAAAUCAAUCAAACAUGGCGGCGAAACGUCAUAAGAAUCACUAUUUGGCCGACAUGUUGAGGGAAUCAGCCAUUCGAAGCCUAAUGGCGGCACAAGAGGCCAAUAGGGACGACAAAUUCAAAAAUGGAAUCACUAUUUCGAAAACUACAACUCGUGUGAUCGGCUGAAAUUAUUUAAAUUAGGAACACCAUUUUUUAUUUAUUUAAAUUAUUACACGCUUUAAUAAAUAUAUCGAACAUAA